GAUGAACGCUGACAGAAUACUUAACACUGCAAGUCGACUCGAGUCUUCGGACUUGGGUGGCGGACGGGUGAGUAACGCGUAAAGAACUUGCCUCAUAGUCUGGGACAACAUCUGGAAACGGAUGCUAAUACCGGAUAUUAUGCUUUCUUCGCAUGGAGGAAGUAUGAAAGCUAUAUGCGCUAUGAGAGAGCUUUGCGUCCCAUUAGCUAGUUGGUGAGGUAACGGCCCACCAAGGCGAUGAUGGGUAGCCGGCCUGAGAGGGUGAACGGCCACAAGGGGACUGAGACACGGCCCUUACUCCUACGGGAGGCAGCAGUGGGGAAUAUUGGACAAUGGACCAAAAGUCUGAUCCAGCAAUUCUGUGUGCACGAUGACGUUUUUCGGAAUGUAAAGUGCUUUCAGCCGGGAAGAAGCAAGUGACGGUACCGACAGAAGAAGCGACGGCUAAAUACGUGCCAGCAGCCGCGGUAAUACGUAUGUCGCAAGCGUUAUCCGGAUUUAUUGGGCGUAAAGCGCGUCUAGGCGGCAAGGAAAGUCUGAUGUGAAAAUGCGGGGCUCAACUCCGUAUUGCGUUGGAAACUGCCUUACUAGAGUACUGGAGAGGUAGGCGGAACUACAAGUGUAGAGGUGAAAUUCGUAGAUAUUUGUAGGAAUGCCGAUGGGGAAGCCAGCCUACUGGACAGAUACUGACGCUAAAGCGCGAAAGCGUGGGUAGCAAACAGG
rnacentral:rRNA from 1 species